UACAGAGGUCCCGAGCGUUUGUUCGGAUUCAUUGGGCGUAAAGGGUGCGUAGGCGGCGGGGCCAGUCUGAUGUGAAAUCCCGGGGCUCAACCCCGGAACUGCAUUGGAUACUGCCUUGCUAGAGUACUGGAGAGGGAACUGGAAUUUACGGUGUAGCAGUGAAAUGCGUAGAGAUCAUGAGGAAGACCAGUGGCGAAGGCGGGUCUCUGGACAGUUCCUGACACUGAGACACGAAGGCCAGGGGGAGCAAACGGG
rnacentral:rRNA from 1 species